AUGAGGUCAUCAGGCACUCAAUCCUUCCCUCUCUUUGAGGGGGGUCAGGAGAUGCUAGAAAUGCUGCAGAAUUCUUCCUUCCGAUGCCCCAAAAGGAAAAGCUGGGAUGAUGAGGUAACUGAGGAUUAUCGGUCAGCAUCUUCUUUGGCUUCCCACCGCAUGUCCCACAGGGGCCUUCCUGGGACAGAUGCUUGGAAAAUGGAGGACUCCAGUACUCAAUUCAUUGGCCUACUUAGCUGCUUCCUCGUGGGAAUAUCAGUUCUCGGGACACUGAUCAGGAGAGGAAAUGGGAUUUUACAGCCAGAAUGA
rnacentral:lncRNA from 1 species